CAGGUUCGGCCCCGAAGAAGACGACCCCAGUGGAGGCCCCACUGAUGACUGGACAGCCGGGCCCUGGCCACGGGAAGAAGCUGGGUCAUCGGGGUGUGGACGCAUCUGGCGAAACCACCUACAAGAAGACCACGUCCUCCACCCUGAAGGGGGCCAUCCAGCUGGGCAUUGGCUACACCGUGGGCAACCUGAGUUCCAAGCCGGAGCGCGACGUGCUCAUGCAGGACUUCUACGUGGUGGAGAGCAUUUUCUU